AACAGUUCUACCAUUUGGGACUGCAGUCACAUGACAGAAGGAGAAAGAGCUUGAAAAACCCCAUACUCUGGCUCUUAAAUGCUUCAAUCCAGAGCUGACACGCCAUUUCUGCAGCCCACUGGCCAAAAGUAGCCUACACCGAGACUAGGAUAUGCAGGAAAGCAUAUGCAACAUUUGACAAAUUCUAUGGUCUAUGCUUCAGUAUACAUGCCACUUGGAAGUCUCAUCAAUGAAAAGUCCAGACAAUACCCAGCUCUCUUUUUUUCCUGACCAAGCUACCCUAGAAACCAAGAAUUUUCAAUGGUUGGAGCUAUAAGACAGAAAGAGCCUGAAUAUCUGUGGUAUCCCUGGGAAGGACUUGACUCUAGUGAGCUACCAAAUUAUAUCUGACUUGGGUGAACAAGAAAUCAACUUUUAUAUAUUAAGCUGUCACGCAGGGUGGAUGAGCUUGCAUUUCAUCAGAAAAAAUUCCAAGCAAGAAAGCAUCAAGGACAAUGACUACCUAUGGCACGGCUCUGAUGACAAUCCUUUUAAGGCCUGCUUCAGUGACUCUCUCUUCCCAAUAGAACAUAAUCGCUUCCUUGGCUGAGGAUUUUCCCAAGGUUCUUGGAAGUUGCUGGUAGUCUGGCUCAUGUUGGGUAAACUAUGACACAUGCUGCUGAGAAAUUAGAUUGCUGCCAAAUAUUAAAACAGG